AAGCCAAGCUGCUUCCUCACCAUGGCCUGGACUCCCCUCUUCUUCCUUCUGCUCACGUAUUUUACAGGGUCACUCUCCCAGUUCACCCUGACUCAGCCACCCUCAGAGUCCGUGUCCCUGGGAAACACAGUUAAACUCUCCUGCACCAUCAGCAGUGGAAAAACAUUGGGAGGUGUUGCCUGGUACCAGCAAAAAAAUGGGAACAGCCCAAGAUACUUGUUGAUGUUCAAUACGGACUCUGACAAGCACCAGGGCUCCGGGGUCCCCAGUCGCUUCUCUGGUUCCAAAGACACCUCGAAUAAAAUUGGCUACUUAACCAUCACCAACGCCCAGGCAGAGGAUGAGGCUGAUUAUUAUUGCACUGCCUGGACUAGUGAGCUGCACAGUGACACAGUUAGUUGCAGACCUGAAUAA